rnacentral:rRNA from 1 species
CCUACGGGAGGCAGCAGUGGGGAAUAUUGGACAAUGGGCGAAAGCCUGAUCCAGCCAUGCCGCGUGUGUGAAGAAGGCCUUCGGGUUGUAAAGCACUUUCAGUGGGGAAGAAAGCCUUGGGGCUAAUACCCUCGAGAAAGGACAUCACCCACAGAAGAAGCACCGGCUAACUCCGUGCCAGCAGCCGCGGUAAUACGGAGGGUGCGAGCGUUAAUCGGAAUUACUGGGCGUAAAGCGCGCGUAGGCGGUCUGAUAAGCCGGUUGUGAAAGCCCCGGGCUCAACCUGGGAACGGCAUCCGGAACUGUCAGGCUAGAGUGCAGGAGAGGAAGGUAGAAUUCCCGGUGUAGCGGUGAAAUGCGUAGAGAUCGGGAGGAAUACCAGUGGCGAAGGCGGCCUUCUGGACUGACACUGACGCUGAGGUGCGAAAGCGUGGGUAGCAAACAGGAUUAGAUACCCGAGUAGUC